rnacentral:rRNA from 1 species
AAUAGAUACCCGGGUAGUCCACACCGUAAACGUUGGGCGCUAGGUGUGGGAUCCAUUCCACGGGUUCCGUGCCGCAGCUAACGCAUUAAGCGCCCCGCCUGGGGAGUACGGCCGCAAGGCUAAAACUCAAAAGAAUUGACGGGGGCCCGCACAAGCGGCGGAGCAUGCGGAUUAAUUCGAUGCAACGCGAAGAACCUUACCUGGGUUUGACAUACACCGGAAGCCUCCAGAGAUGGGGGUCUCUUUGAUACUGGUGUACAGGUGGUGCAUGGCUGUCGUCAGCUCGUGUCGUGAGAUGUUGGGUUAAGUCCCGCAACGAGCGCAACCCUCGUCCUAUGUUGCCAGCGGGUUAUGCCGGGGACUCAUAGGAGACUGCCGGGGUCAACUCGGAGGAAGGUGGGGAUGACGUCAAGUCAUCAUGCCCCGUUAUGUCCAGGGCUUCACGGCAUGCUACAAUGGCCGGUACAAAGGGCUGCGAUGCUGUAAGGCGGAGCGAAUCCCAAAAGCCGGUCUCAGUUCGGAUUGAGGUCUGCAACCG